GAGUUUGAUCAUGGCUCAGGACGAACGCUGGCGGCGCGCUUAAUACAUGCAAGUCGAGCGAGAACCAGGGCUUCGGCCCUGGGGACAGCGGCGAACGGGUGAGUAACACGUGGGUAAUCAACCCCCGACACCGGGAUAGCCCAGGGAAACUUGGAUUAAUACCGGAUGCUCCGUCUGGCCUUCGGGCCGGCCGGAAAAGGGUAGCUUCGGCCUCCGGUCGGGGACGAGCCCGCGGCGGAUUAGCUUGUUGGUGGGGUAAAGGCCCACCAAGGCGACGAUCCGUAGCUGGUCUGAGAGGACGAUCAGCCACACUGGGACUGAGACACGGCCCAGACUCCUACGGGAGGCAGCAGUAGGGAAUCUUGCGCAAUGGGCGAAAGCCUGACGCAGCGACGCCGCGUGAGGGAAGAAGGCCUUCGGGUUGUAAACCUCUUUCAGGAGGGACGAAGCCACUCGGGUUAAUAGCCCAGAGGGUGACGGUACCUCCAGAAGAAGCCCCGGCUAACUACGUGCCAGCAGCCGCGGUACGC
rnacentral:rRNA from 1 species